UGAAAAGAGUAUAGCUGUUCUUCUCUCUCAGUCAAUUUUGAUGAAGGAACCAAUCACAGCCUCCCAAUUUGCCUAGCACUGCCCAGAGGAGAGCAGUGGCCUUUAAAGGUAUGAACUUUCUCCAUGUGUCACAGAUCUCUCCCAUUGCACUUGGUGCUCUUUGAAGGACAUGAUGAAGAAUCUAAUAAGAAGCACAGCACAGAUACUCAGGAUCACCAAAGAAGAUCAGUCUUUAUCCCUGAACAUAAUGCUGUGAGAGUAUAAUCCUGGAAAUUCUGGAAAAUGUGGUAUGAAAUGAAUAUUAUAUAUGACUGUGUUCUAGAAAAGAUAUAUUAAAAGAAAAGACUCUGAGGGCAAUUCUGUUCUCCUUCAGAUGGGUACUCAGCACUUACAUUCUCUUCAUUUCACAGGAUUCAAGAACUAAACAGAGCAUUGCCCUAAGGGGUGGGAAAGGAGAGCAUUCAAGAUGUGAGGAAAGUGAUCUGGAUCUUCUCACUAAAGUUUCAACAAAUAUUAAUUAAUUAAUUCAACUGAUCUGUCUUGGUGUUUCAAGAACUGAGGUGUCUAUGUGACUAAACUCUUGGGGUCACCUAUGUUUUGAGUAGUGUUUCAAUCCUUGGCUUGAGGGUUGAGAGGAGAAAUAUAAACUAUAAAGAAGUCCUGUCAGCCCUGACUGUUGUAAGUCUCUCUCUCAAAUUGUCCUCUUAAAACAUAGGGUUCACUCAAAUGCAUGUAUUUCCUCCUUAUCCCUUCACCUCCAUCUAGGAUAUGGAAGAAGAAAAGAGGAAUACCAAAUUCUGAUUUCUGGAUUUUGAAAUCCCAGUUGCAUGAUUUUCUCUCCUCAAUCUGAUCUGCUUAUCUACUGCUGCCAUCUUUAUGGUGACAUAGACUAGAGGUGCCAUAGACCAAACACUGACUGGGGGUCAAUGCAGUCUGAAACAGACUCAAGUGUAAUUGAGAAAAUAUUUAGCAAAAUAAAUAAAACACAAUAGGCCA
rnacentral:lncRNA from 1 species